AAUUCACUGAAAUGACGAGAGCGCAUGAUUUGACAUGGGAACUUGAUGAAAAUGAAAAGAAAUAAAAACAUAUAGUAUAUGGAAUUAGAGAUAAUUAAAUAAAACAAAAUUCAAGAUGUCGAUUUUAUACAAAGGGAAUGAGGAGAUGUACAUCGGAUUAAUCAUUGGAUUUAGUGUGAUGAUCGUGAUAUUUAUCGUACUAUGUAUCGUAUGGAGAUGUCUUUGUAUCAAAACAAACACUAUGAUUCAACAAAGGCAACAACAAUCCCAAGAAAGAACUCAUGCCUGGGGAGACGAUAGCAAAGUAAUGAAAAAGAACCACACAGCAAAGAAAGAUAAAGAUUUCUAUAAUGACGGUAUACAUAACAGAGUGGUGACAGAAGAAGGAAAAGUUCAAAUGAAUGAGGCGGAAUUCUUACAAAAAUAUAUAUAGUUUUAAAUCCAGUACUGUAAAGAGUUCAAAUUCAAAUAAAUGGAUUUUUGUUAACCCUUAAUUGUACAAUCUGUAAUUAUACCAAACACCUUUGAUUUAACGAACAGGUCCCUUUGCCUUGCACCACUUAUGCAUAUGAAGUGGAUUACAGUUUGUUAAAUUUGAGAAAUAUAUCAAGAAUUUAUAUCCGAGGUAACUAGAUAAUUUGUAAAAAAACAUUUUGUGGAUAAUUUGCAUUACAUUUCACUUCAUUAGUUUAAGUUUAUAUUUGGAUUAUAGUUUAACUUUGAUGCUAUUUGUUUGAAACACAGAUUGUUUAUCGAGAUACCUUUUAUUGAAAUGAUAUUAACCUUUUAUUGAAAUAUAUAUUAACCUUUUAUUGAAAUGAUAUUAACCUUUUAUUGAAAUAUAUAUUAACCUUUUAUUGAAAUAAUAUAAACCUUUUAUUGAAAUGAUAUAAACCUUUUAUUGAAAUAUAUUUUAAAAUAAAAAAAAAAUAUUGAUCAUUUUAAUUGCAUUUGACUAAAAUUUGAUGUUUGAAGUAGGUGGUAUGGAAUAAGGUAAAGUCAUCAUUCAUUUACACUAACGCAUGGCAUCUAAUUUCAAAAUGUUUUCUUGAUAAAAAAUAUUUGCCAAUUUUAAUGAUAAAGAACUUUGUUUAUUUUGACCCAUUUUCCAUUUCUUCUUCAAAACACCAACCUACUUACAUGUGAAAUAUUUAUAAAGAUGUUUCAAAAUGUUGUUCUCAAACAAACAUAUCUUGUGGACAUCUUUGAAAUAUUUUAAAACCAACAAAUUCAUAGAGACCGGAUAACAUUCCAUGUACGACGUGCUGAAGUGGAUUAUUUUGUAACUUGCAAAAAAAAUACAUAAAUAUUUAAUUACUUGCCGAUAAAAUGCAGAUCGCAUUAUUCGGUAAAAAUGGUUUUAUCUUUUUAAAUAUUUUACAAAGAUAUUUUAUGGAAAAGGUUAUAAUUUAAGCAUGAUAAGGGUGCAUGCUCAACGAAAAACCUAUCUGGAUUUUAACGAUGCUUUACCGAAAAUUUCCAAAAAAAUGUAUUUGGGAAGGCAUGAAAAGUUAGGGUAGGUAGGGAUAAACAACUUGUUGUUAAUUUCUGUGUCAAUUGGACUCUUGUGGAGAGUUGUCUCAUUUGCAGUCACCGCAUUUCUAUAAACUAUUUUGCCUCAUAUUAUUUUUUAUGUUUUAAUUGGAUAAUAUAAAAAAGAAGAUGUGGUAGGAUUGUCAAUGAGACAACUAUCCACAAAAGACAGAAAUGACACAGGCAUUAACAACUAUAGGUCACCGUAUGGCCUUCAACAAUAAGAAAAGCCAAUACCGCAUAGUCGGCUAUAAAAGACCCCGAUAAGACAAUGAAAAACAAUUCAAAGGAGAAAACUAACGGCCUUAUUUAUGAAAAAAAAUUGAAUUUAUUAUUUUGUAUGUAACAAUAUUUCAUUAUCAAAUGUUUGCUAUAGAAUUUUCUUGUCAGCACGCUGGUUAUCGCUUAUUUUGAGUAGUAUAUAUGUUUAAAUUCCACAUUAUGCACAGUUUGUUAUACAUUUUCUAUUGUUUAUUCCAGUGAACAGUUAGUUGUUCGACCAUUAGACAUACUAUUAGAUUUGAAAUUUAAACUACUUUUGUAUGUCAAUGAUUUAUAAGAAUAAUCUCUAUUUUUGUUAUAACUAUGUCUGUGAUAUUCGGGUAUGUUAAAAUUGUGUUACAUGCGAUCUCUGAAAUAAAAGUUGUUUAUCGA